UGAUGCUGAACUGAUAGCUGCAUCCCAGUCUGUGGAAGAUUCACUGAAGUCCCAACACUCCUUGUCUGCAAGUCAACCUUUAAAGCAACGGCUGACAAGCAGAGGUGUUUCCUCCUCCCAGACGUCUGGAACAUAGGAGAACUCAGCUCCCCUGUCCAAGGAGUUUGAGAACACUGUACAGUCACCACAUCAAAAUAAAUCUACUGUGCAGCCCAAACAUCGUGAGUCCACAGAGGCUGCCAUACAGUCCAAAAAACUUGACACUGUUGGAUUCACUGAGUCAUCUGCAUCCCAGGGUCAUGAUCAUACAACACAAUUACUGUUGAGUCAUUCACCUGUGGAGCUAGAGGGAUGGGUGCGUCCCUGGGAAAAUCCUAAUGGUAUCCCAUCUGCUGACAUUUCCUGGCUUAAAGAGGACACUGAAAGAGGACUGUUUACCCCUGUUCAGACAUACAAGGAUGUUACUGGUGUGUUGAAGAGGCGACGG
ensembl:lncRNA